UAUAGAGGUCCCAAGCGUUGUUCGGAUUCAUUGGGCGUAAAGGGUGCGUAGGCGGCGCGGUAAGUCGGGUGUGAAAUCUCGGAGCUUAACUCCGAAACUGCAUUCGAUACUGCCGUGCUUGAGGACUGGAGAGGAGACUGGAAUUUACGGUGUAGCGGUGAAAUGCGUAGAUAUCGUAAGGAAGACCAGUGGCGAAGGCGGGUCUCUGGACAGUUCCUGACGCUGAGGCACGAAGGCCAGGGGAGCAAACGGG
rnacentral:rRNA from 1 species